ACUCCUACGGGAGGCAGCAGUGGGGAAUAUUGCACAAUGGGCGCAAGCCUGAUGCAGCCAUGCCGCGUGUGUGAAGAAGGCCUUCGGGUUGUAAAGCACUUUCAGUCGUGAGGAAGGUAGUGUAGUUAAUAGCUGCAUUAUUUGUACGUUAGCGACAGAAGAAGCACCGGCUAACUCCGUGCCAGCAGCCGCGGUAAUACGGAGGGUGCGAGCGUUAAUCGGAAUUACUGGGCGUAAAGCGCAUGCAGGUGGUUGUUAAGUCAGAUGUGAAAGCCCGGGGCUCAACCUCGGAAUAGCAUUUGAAACUGGCAGACUAGAGUACUGUAGAGGGGGUAGAA
rnacentral:rRNA from 1 species